rnacentral:rRNA from 1 species
GUGAGGAAUAUUGGUCAAUGGGCGAGAGCCUGAACCAGCCAAAUCGCGUGAAGGAUGAAGGUAUUAUGUAUUGUAAACUUCUUUUAUCGGGGAAUAAAGUGCACCACGUGUGGUGUUUUGUAUGUACCCGAAGAAUAAGGAUCGGCUAACUCCGUGCCAGCAGCCGCGGUAAUACGGAGGAUCCAAGCGUUAUCCGGAUUUAUUGGGUUUAAAGGGUGCGUAGGCGGACUGUCAAGGCAGCGGUGAAAGUCCAUGGCUCAACCAUGGAAUUGCCGUUGAAACUGUCAGUCUUGAGUGUAGAUGAGGUAGGCGGAAUUCGUAGUGUAGCGGUGAAAUGCUUAGAUAUUACGAAGAACUCCAAUUGCGUAGGCAGCUUACCAGGCUACAACUGACGCUGAGGCACGAAGGUGCGGGGAUCAAACAGGAUUAGAUACCCUUGUAGUCC